rnacentral:rRNA from 1 species
AGAUUGAACGCUGGCGGCAUGCUUUACACAUGCAAGUCGAGCGGCAGCGCGGGGGCAACCCUGGCGGCGAGCGGCGAACGGGUGAGGAACACAUCGGAACGUGCCCCGGAGUGGGGGAUAACGCCGCGAAAGCGGCGCUAAUACCGCAUAUGCUCUGAGGAGGAAAGCGGGGGACCUGUGAGGGCCUCGCGCUCUGGGAGCGGCCGAUGUCCGAUUAGCUAGUUGGUGGGGUAAUGGCUCACCAAGGCGACGAUCGGUAGCUGGUCUGAGAGGAUGAUCAGCCACACUGGGACUGAGACACGGCCCAGACUCCUACGGGAGGCAGCAGUGGGGAAUUUGGACAAUGGGGGCAACCCUGAUCCAGCCAUGCCGCGUGCGGGAAGAAGGCCUGGUUGUAAC